rnacentral:rRNA from 1 species
CAAUAGCGUAUAUUAAAGUUGUUGCAGUUAAAAAGCUCGUAGUUGGAUUUGUGGUUCGUCCCGCCGGCUGGGUCAUUGACUUUUGCUGUGCUGGUCGUCCAUCCUUGGGUGGAAUCUGUGUGGCAUUAGGUUGUCGCGCAGGGGAUGCCCAUCGUUUACUGUGAAAAAAUUAGAGUGUUCAAAGCAGGCUUAUGCCGUUGAAUAUAUUAGCAUGGAAUAAUAAUAUAGGACCUUGGUACUAUUUUGUUGGUUUGCGCACUGAGGUAAUGAUUAAUAGGGACAGUUGGGGGUAUUCGUAUUCCAUUGUAAGAGGUGAAAUUCUUGGAUUUUUGGAAGACGAACUACUGCGAAAGCAUUUACCAAGGAUGUUUUCAUUAA